rnacentral:sRNA from 1 species
AUAGCCCGGAUUGCAGUGGCAUCCUUUUUUGCUGAAAAUAUUCAGCAAAAAAGAUAAAACGUAAAGCCGGAAAA